GACGAACGCUGGCGGCGUGCCUAAUGCAUACGAGUAGAACGCACAGUUUAUACCGUAGCUUGCUACACCAUAGACUGUGAGUUGCGAACGGGUGAGUAACGCGUAGGUAACCUGCCUGGUAGCGGGGGAUAACUAUUGGAAACGAUAGCUAAUACCGCAUAAUAUUGAUUAUUGCAUGAUAAUUGAUUGAAAGAUGCUAUUGCAUCACUACCAGAUGGACCUGCGUUGUAUUAGCUAGUAGGUGAGGUAACGGCUCACCUAGGCGACGAUACAUAGCCGACCUGAGAGGGUGAUCGGCCACACUGGGACUGAGACACGGCCCAGACUCCUACGGGAGGCAGCAGUAGGGAAUCUUCGGCAAUGGACGAAAGUCUGACCGAGCAACGCCGCGUGAGUGAAGAAGGUUUUCGGAUCGUAAAGCUCUGUUGUAAGAGAAGAACGGGUGUGAGAGUGGAAAGUUCACACUGUGACGGUAUCUUACCAGAAAGGGACGGCUAACUACGUG
rnacentral:rRNA from 1 species